CACAAGCAGUGGAGUAUGUGGUUUAAUUCGACGCAACGCGAAGAACCUUACCUGGGUUUGACAUGCAGGGGAAAGCUACAGAGAUGUAGCCUCGGCUUCGGUCGCCGCUGCACAGGUGCUGCAUGGCUGUCGUCAGCUCGUGCCGUGAGGUGUUGGGUUAAGUCCCGCAACGAGCGCAACCCUCGUCCUUAGUUGCCAUGCCGCAAGGCGGAACCCUAAGGAGACUGCCGGGGACAACCCGGAGGAAGGUGGGGAUGACGUCAAGUCCUCAUGGCCCUUACAUCCAGGGCUACACACGUACUACAAUGGUCGGUACAGAAGGUUGCAAGACCGCGAGGUGGAGCUAAUCCCAAAAACCGGCCUCAGUUCAGAUUGAAGUCUGCAACUCGACUUCAUGAAGGUGGAAUUGCUAGUAAUCGCAGAUCAGCACGCUGCGGUGAAUACGUUCCCGGGCCUU
rnacentral:rRNA from 1 species